GGAUUUGUAAACCUCAGAACGAGGUUCUGCCUGCCCGAGGCCGCGGUGUUGCGGAGACCCGAGGCGUAGCCAGCGACACCAUGUCUGACCAGGAGGCAAAACCUUCAACUGAGGACUUAGGGGAUAAGAAGGAAGGUGAAUACAUUAAACUCAAAGUCAUUGGGCAGGAUAGCAGUGAGAUACACUUCAAAGUGAAAAUGACAACACAUCUCAAGAAGCUCAAAGAAUCAUACUGUCAAGGACAGGGAGUUCCAAUGAAUUCACUCAGGUUUCUCUUUGAAGGUCAGAGAAUUGCUGAUAAUCAUACUCCAAAAGAACUGGGCAUGGAGGAAGAAGGUGUGAUUGAAGUUUAUCAGGAACAAACAGGGGGUCAUUCAACGGUUUAGAUACUCUUUUUAUUUCUUUUCUUUUCCCUCAAUCCUUUUUUAUUUUUAAAAAAUAGUUAUUU